rnacentral:rRNA from 1 species
UGCUGCGUAACAUCGUUGCUGCUC